GGUUCCAUGGUGUAAUGGUUAGCGUGCUGGACUUUGAAUCCAGUGAUCUGAGGUCAAAUCUCUGUGGAACCU